rnacentral:lncRNA from 1 species
AAAUCAGAGAUUGAAAUUUUAGAAGCCUUUCAAGUCGCAAAAUAGCUCAUCUCUUUUUGUCCUUGUCCAUCAGUUCCCUCUUUUGUCAUUUGCAUGUAUCAUAGUGAGAUACUCCUUCGUUGCUAUUGUUUUGGGGACAAUCUGCUUUCAAGAGGCUACCAUGUGGAUGUCUCCCCGUCUGUCCUGUGCUUUUCCCUUGGAAGCCCUCACAUCCAAUCACAAGGAAAUCGGGAAUACUGAUUGAUGCAACGGUUAUGAAGACAUAAUUUUUCAUAGAAGCUGAAAAACCUUUGUUCAUAACUCACUCAAAUUCUACCAAUAUGCUGAUGAAAUACAGAGGGAUCUGGGGAUAUUAACUACAUUUUAUAACUGAGGUAGGUAAAAUUCUAAUAACUCAGUACUGGGAUUAUAUCAUGAAGUGCACCACAAACAGAAUUAACAAUAAAAGAGAAAACUUUUAGGUCCUAACACUGACAAUAACUAUUGGUGUGGCCUUAAGUAACUUAACCUCUUUGGACUCAGUUUCUUCAUUGGAAAAUUAGACGACUGGGUCAGAUGAGCUCUAAGACCUCUUCCACCUCUGAAAUCAUUUGGUGUUUUAUCUGAGACUCCUUCCUAGAAAUUUCUGCCCUGUGGUUGGAUAUGCAAUCUAUGAAUAGAAUAUACCAGUACUUGAUACAUAGUCUUCCCAAUAGAAUUCAGUUUUAAUUAUCUGUGAAAGCAAAAUACAGCAUUAAAAUUUUCAUUCGCAUAUUCAUUGGCUCUUUGGCUAUCUCUUCCUACUAUUAAAGUUUUCUUUUUCUUCUCAAGUAGAAAGUAUGCAAUAUCUUAAACAAAAGGAAGAAUCAGUGAACAUGCCAGAAACAAGACUGGG